GGCCUUUUCUUCAUUAUUUUGUCAAGUGCUGGAUUUGCAAAGAAAGUCAAAUUUCUGAAUUUUCACAGCUUAUAUAUCAAUAUGCGUGAACAUAGAAACAGAAAAUAAAUUCUAUUGAUAUGUUGUUAAAUGCUAUGGUCAAGUAUAUCUACUUGAUGUAGCUAAAAUUUAUCUUUAGCUUGGAAACAUCGUUGAAACAAAUUUUCAGUAGUUGC
rnacentral:lncRNA from 1 species